rnacentral:rRNA from 1 species
GACGAACGCUGGCGGCGUGCUUAACACAUGCAAGUCGAACGGAAAGGCCCUGCUUUUGUGGGGUGCUCGAGUGGCGAACGGGUGAGUAACACGUGAGUAACCUGCCCUUGACUUUGGGAUAACUUCAGGAAACUGGGGCUAAUACCGGAUAGGAGCUCCUGCUGCAUGGUGGGGGUUGGAAAGCUUCGGCGGUUGGGGAUGGACUCGCGGCUUAUCAGCUUGUUGGUGGGGUAGUGGCUUACCAAGGCUUUGACGGGUAGCCGGCCUGAGAGGGUGACCGGCCACAUUGGGACUGAGAUACAGCCCAGACUCCUACGGGAGGCAGCAGUGGGGAAUAUUGCACAAUGGGCGGAAGCCUGAUGCAGCAACGCCGCGUGCGGGAUGACGGCCUUCGGGUUGUAAACCGCUUUCGCCUGUGACGAAGCGUGAGUGACGGUAAUGGGUAAAGAAGCACCGGCUAACGACGUG